AGUUUUUCUACUACUUAUCCCAAAAUAUCACCAUCCACCCUAGCCAAGCCACGUUAUAACCCUAAAAGACCUCUAAUGUGUGUGCACAAAGUGAACCGAAUUAAUUCUUAGACUACUUGCAAAAUUAUUGUUGACUUGCAUUGAUGUGUUGAUUUGAGUGAAUUACCCAAACUGAAGAGUGCAUGUGAGUAGUGUGAUGGAAUCAUAGAGCCUUGGUCGAAAAGUGUGAACUACUUGAAAAUGUCUUGCGAUAACGGUUGUGCAAUUGAGCAUUGUUUGCAGGUGGAUCAUUGAUCAUCAGGUGAGUCUCACGUAUGUAUGAUUCGAGUGAAUUUAAGGAAAAUGCCAAGGUCUUGACACAAAAGCUUGAGGUAAAAGUUAUUUCCUUGAGGACA
rnacentral:lncRNA from 1 species